CUACCGUCGGCCGUCGGCGUUAGCGAAUAAAAGACGCCACAGAUAAAUCGAACUCGUUGGAAGCAACAUAAGUUAAUUGGCUUUAAUAUUAAAUAAUUUCACACCAGAAUUUCAACAAUCAAGGGCGUGUUAUUGUUUCCCAUACGGGGCGCGCACACGACGCCUGGAAACCAUUCUAUGCUCGCGCAGCAGGUAUUGACAGCAGCAGGAGCGAAACGCCGGUGUUGCACAGCGGUGUCACAGAGCCACCGCGCUGCGAUUACUUCGGCGGCAUAGUCCAAAUUUGUCGGACAUCUCAUUCUGUGCUGGAAACACUGGGAGGCAGGAAGUUUGAAAAAACGGCCACUGCCGCCCGCUAUGUCUCGGUCGUGGGUUCGUUAUCCAGUUGUGCGUCAUUCUAAGCCGUUCUGUACAUGUAUACUGGAUAUUAACUGGAGUCAUUUAGCUGUGCUGAUGCUGUUUGCCGUGUGUUUUGCAUCAGUGCUUCGUGACGUCGGCUGUAUUGCGUGUUUUCGCCGACGGCUUACUACCACAAUGGCGGGAUCUGCGUACGCCGCCUUCGUGUGUCGGUGCGUCUUCGUACGUCGCACGUUCGGAUAACACUUUUUCCAACGGCUGGACAUCCUUCUUGUACCUUGGCGCUAGCUGGAUGACGGGACCUCAUCAUGAUCAGUGUAUUGAUUGCCUAUGUCCACAAGAACCGUCACAUGUGGCCUGUGACAGCAAGCUUUUGUGGGCAGCCAGUGCUCUCCUACGAAGGCUGGCCUACUCUGGCAGCAGCGGCAAUCAUCUUCGAGAUUUAUCCCUGAUCACGUUUGCUGCUAUUUGUCACUCUUGUUUAUUACACUUUCUGCAUCUUUUCUAAUUUAUUAGGUAAUAAAGUAUGAGUAUGUGACAUGGUGUGAAGUUGAUGUCUUGCUGCAUUUUCGCUUGCAAUCACCUUUUAUGCAUGAAAAGCUCAUCGUACAGUUUAUGAAAAAAAAAAUAACAGCAUAUUAUGAUUUAUCUUUCAGUUCUGGUAACAUGCAACGUACAAGGAAUUCACUAAUGGAUGGUAUGCCGAGGAACUGGCCCUUAUUUCUGCGUGAUGCUGUGCGAGCAUGUGGAGUUACCUUACAAGAGGCACCCAGAAAGUAAGUUACAAUUUACUUUUAAAUGAAGCAUGGACAUCAGAAAAAAUAUAUUUAUAUCGCUAGUUAGAGUGGUUUGCAGAGUGUUUUUCCAGAUGUGUACUAUCCUUUAUAUCUGAACUCAUUGCAGCACAGUGGCUAUUGUGCCCCCUGUAGCUGAAACCAAGAUGUAAUUUUUGCCUGAACUGCAGCAUCACUGACAAAAUUUUUCUUUGCUAGAAACUAUUUCAAUUUGGUGGAGACCCAGCAGGGCGAAGUUUUGUCAAUAAUGACGUGUUUCACGCAGAGAUGUUCUUGUUUAGGUCAAUGAGUGAACAUUGGA